CGCGACUUGGCAGAACAGCGAACUUUCAACGUAAACCCCACACGAGUCGGUGCGUCACCCCCCAACUCUCCUGUCGACCUCUUUUCCUUCUCUCCCUGUGCUCUUCUCCUUGUACGAUUCCAAACCCUUAUUCCUACUCUCUAUCUCUCUCUCUGAGGCCCCAAUUUUUGAGCUAUUCUUAUUUCUUAUCUAUUUGUUUCCAUGUAUAAUAAAUUCACGGCAGCCUGAAAAUUGGGGGCCAUAAGUUAUCAAAUUAGUGCAUGUUCGGGGCUCUCUCAUUCGAUCAAUCUUGCAUGUUAGGGUCCGCCGACCUAUAAACUUUGGGGUUUUUCUCAAUAAUUCUGUUCCGAUCGAAUAGGGCCCUCCGGCUCCCGAAUUGGGUAAUUUCGAUUCUGUGUUUCUGUAUUGAAUUGAAUCGGAUCGUCUUUGAGCUCUUAAAUUUUGUACAAAAUAGGGGCUUUCUUAAUCUUUUCUACUGCCUUUGAAUUAUACCGGUCUGGUGUUCAGUGAUUUGUGAAAGUUAGGAUUUUCUUUGCGAAUUGGGUGAAAAUGGAUUCAAGCCGGAGAGCGGUGGAGUCGUAUUGGAGGUCGCGGAUGAUCGACGCCGCCACAUCGGACGAGGACAAGGUCACACCGGUGUACAAGUUGGAGGAGAUCUGCGAUCUCCUGCGAUCUUCGCAUGUCAGUAUUGUAAAGGAGGUCUCGGAGUUUAUCCUGAAGCGGCUCGAGCACAAGAGCCCGAUUGUUAAGCAAAAGGCUCUUAGGUUGAUAAAAUACUCGGUGGGGAAAUCUGGUGUGGAGUUUAGGAGGGAAAUGCAGAGACAUUCAGCAGCCGUUCGCCAGUUAUUUCACUAUAAGGGACAGUUAGAUGCUUUGAAAGGGGAUGCACUUAACAAGGCUGUGCGGGACACUGCUCAUGAGGCAAUCUCUGCUAUUUUUUCUGCAGAGAAUGAUAAGCCAGCUCCUGCUGAAGAUCUUAACAAAAGAAUACAGGGGUUUGGAAAUACGAACUUUGAAAUGCCAUCAGAAGAAAGGAAAUCAUUUCUCAGUGAGGUAGUAGGUCUUGGAAGUGCAUCUAUAAAGCAGGGAAUUAGCAAUUUCACACAAGGUCAUAUGGUGAAAAAGAAUGACAAUGGAAGUUACAAGGGUCCAAAUCUUCGGAGGUCAUUGACUAUAGAAUCUGAUUAUGCAGAUAGAUAUGAACCUGUUGAUUAUCACAAUGAAACUCAGGGUAGUUUUGGGAUUUCAAAGAAUGUGGCCAGUGGACCUUGGAACCAGGACUCAAGAGUAUCUAAGAUAGAAAUAACCAACGGGGACUCCAGUUCAAGUUCUAAAGAAAGUAGGACUUGUGAAGAGAGGUUAUUGGAGACCAUUGUAACAUCAGGUGGUGUACGUCUACAGCCUACUCGAGAUGCUGUUCAAAUUUUCCUUGUCGAGGCUGCAAAGUUGGAUGCUUUGGUUUUAAGUCGAGCCCUUGAGUCAAAGCUCCAAUCUCCCCAGUGGCAGGUUCGCAUGAAAGCUGUCUGUGUCCUUGAGUCAAUACUGAGGAAAACGGAUGAUGAUCAUUUUGUCACUGUGGAGUCUUAUUUCAGUGAAAAUAAAGAUGCAGUGUUGAGAUGUUCUGAAUCUCCUCAAUCUUCUCUGAGGGAAAAAGCUAACAAGGUUUUAAGCCUUUUGGGUGGAGAACACACAAACAGCACAGCUACUUAUACAGAAAGGACUGUGAAGAGUGAUGCUACUAAUGCUGUUCAAAUGCCCAACUUAAUAGACACUGGUGAUCCAGAUGAUUAUGAUGAUAAUUCUACAAAGAAUCAAAGUGAGCAGAAUCCAGCAAAUGUUUCAAUGCCAGCCCCUCUAAUUGAUGACUUGUUUGGAGAUGGUCUGGGCACUGUUGCAAGCACUUCUGAACUAAAAAGCGAUGAUGACCCCUUUGCGGAUGUGUCUUUUCAUGCUAGUGAUAGUGGGGAACAUGCAGAUGACCUCUUUUCUGGGAUGACUGUUGAUGAUAAACAGGUUGCUAAUGGAAAUCAUAUGGCAGAAAAGAAAACUGGAGCUGAACUUUUAGAUUUAUUUGGCUCCAGUCAUGAACUUCCUCAGGAGCAAGAAAGUCAUAAAAAAGAUUUCAAUGACUUGAUGGCUGGUUUUUCACUUAAUGAAAAUGCCUCCAACAUGAAGCCGAAAGCAACCUCUCCUGGAGCUUUUUCAGAAACUCUGUUUUCAGAUUCAGAUAGUAAUUCCCAGAAUCAGGUUUCCAAUGACACUUUGGGUGCCAUGUUUAGUUCUCAAACGUCCACAAUGAAUCCAAAUGCUGUGUUCCCCCCUGGUGCUAUGUCAUACCAUAUGCCUCCUGGCUUCAUGCUCAACCCUGCAUUUUCUUCUCAGCCAAUAAAUUAUGCUGCCAUGGGGAGUCUUUUUGCUCAGCAGCAAUUGCUAGCAAGCCUCCAACACCUUGGGAACAUGAAUGCCCAAAAUGCUGGUGUCAGUCAUGUUGGUGGUAGUAAUGGAGCAUAUUCUUCACCCCUUCCUGAUGUAUUCCAAUCAAACUUUCCUAUUCAAACUCCUAGUUCACUGAUGAACGGUUCAAAGAAAGAGGAUACCAGAGCUUUUGACUUUAUCUCCGACCAUGUUGCUGCAGCUCGUGAUCAAAAGAGGAUGGUUUGAAUUUUGAGCUUAUGCUUUAUCAGAAAGGACUGGUUUAGGACUUCGAUUAUGGCUUUACAGCGUGUAGAAGGAUAUACAGUUGACAACAAAGAAGUUCUCUGUAGUUGUUUCAUGACAUCCAGCCGCUCGGAGAAUAUGGAGAAGGAAGCUAAAUGCAGUGUAAGAAAGCAGGAUUAGCAGAAUGGCAAGGGGAAAACGGCAAACUCAACGGAAGGCAAGUAAGAAUUUACCAAGUAUGGCAUGUACUUUUUUAUUGCCGCUAGCAUAGCUGCAUGACCUAUAGCAGAUACCUGGAUGUGGUAAGGAAGGGAAAAUUAAUCAGAUCUUUUAGGGAUCACUUGGGAGUAAUAGAAUAAAAUAGUUAUAGCAAGAUGAGCAAAAGUUGCCUAGUGUGAACCUAAUUACAUUACAGUUUUAGUGGUAUGAAUCGCAUGUCAUACUCACAUGAUAAAAGGGCACAUAAAUUGUUGGCCUUUAAUUCAGGUUUAAUUAUUUACUUAAAAGUCAUUCCUGUA